AUUGAACGCUGGCGGCAGGCUUAACACAUGCAAGUCGAGCGAGCGGCGGACGGGUGAGUAAUGUCUGGGAAACUGCCUGAUGGAGGGGGAUAACCACUGGAAAUGGUAGCUAAUACCGCAUACCAUCAGAUGUGCCCAGAUGGGAUUAGCUAGUAGGUGGGGUAAUGGCUCACCUAGGCGACGAUCCCUAGCUGGUCUGAGAGGAUGACCAGCCACACUGGAACUGAUCAACGGUCCAGGCGCCUACGGGAGGCAGAAGUGGGGAAUAUUGCACAAUGGGGGCAAGCCGGAUGCAGCCCUGCGGCGUGGUUGAAGAAGGCCUUCGGGUUGUAAAGCACUUUCAGCGAGGAGGCGUUACUCGCAGAAGAAGCACCGGCUAACUCCGUGCCAGCAGCCGCGGUAAUUC
rnacentral:rRNA from 1 species